UUUUGUCAUCUGAGCUGUGAAAAGCAAAGCAGAGAAGUGAGAACACUGUUUGGAAACGCAUUAGUGAUCAGGGAUGUAUUGCUCCGUGUUUACAGCCUGGCCUUUAAAGUGUGCAAUGACAGCUGCACGAAGGAAAUGUCUGAUAAAAGAUCACUUUAUUUCAAGACAACACUGUGAGGCUGUACCAAAUAUAAUGAGUAGGAAUGGACCAUAGGCUGAAGGCUCCUAUUCCUUACCAUCACAUUGGACGUGUAUUACUCAGCCAGCAGGCUGCCAGGACACUUUGGGGAUCACCGUGGGACUCUCCUUGGGUAAGUCCUUGCCCUUAAAUAGCUUCACCCUGGCACAGAUGGAAGCUAUGCUUGUUCUUUCCAGGCUUUUCCCCCAGGAUGGAGCUGAGUCAGUGCCAUCAGGGCAUCCUUCACACUGAGCCAUGAGCAGGUGAUUUAAAUCCCGGUGGUAAGUGAAUGGUAAAUUAGAAGCAGCUACUUCCCUUCCAGGGGGAUGGUAAUUUUUGCAAGGUUGGCUUGGAAGAGAAUUAAAGCCUCCCCAGAAAUAUAAAAGGACAGCCACAGACAUGGAGUAAGAUGUUUCAGGAAUGGUUUAGAGGGUGGAUGAUGGAAUGGAGAAGUGUUUCCUGCUUGUUCCCGUGUCUCCUGAGGCUGUGAUUCCUGCACAGGGAGAGAGGCUCAGGCUAAAACCUCACCCAGAAAAUGUAGAGGUCUUCAGCCUCCGACAUGAGAUCUAUGCUCUUUGCCCUGGAUUACACACAGAACCUUGGAAGCUGAGGAGCCCCAGGAGACAUUUGCAGUGGUAGAUGACAAAUCAAGGUCAGCAUGAAACACCAAGUGACCUGGGAUGGGACCAGCGUACUUUCAAAAGGAGAAGCAGCCUAUGAGAAAACAGCUUUUCCUCAGCAGCAUCUCCCUUGCAAAUGCUCCUUGUUCCACAUCCAGAAGUUUGCCAGAGCUGGAAUUCAUCAUAACAAUGGAAGGGAUGCUCUUGAAGAGGCAAUUUCUCCCCAGGAUGCAAAGAACUGCUGUCUGCCUGUGUCAGAUGCAGAAAAAGCUUACAAACACAUAGAAAGAUACAAUUUCCAGCCAUGAAUUCAACCCAGGUGCCAGGAACUAAUGCUUUUAUGAAGGAAUUUCUGAGCAACAGAAAGUCCCAGAUGAAAACAAGAGUGGUAGGCAGUGCUCAGAAAAGGUUACGAAAUCUGAAAUGUAGUUAUUGAAACCUUUGAAUGAUCCAUGAAAGAAUACAACGUAAAAAUGUUCUUACUCUCAAACUAGUAGAGCUGGGAAAGGUGUAGAAAGUUGGUUGCAGAGGAUUUGGGGAGUUAUAUGAACCAGACAGGAAAGCUGGCAGCUGUAGAGGCUGCU
rnacentral:lncRNA from 1 species